rnacentral:rRNA from 1 species
GACAGAGGAGCCAAGCGUUGUCCGGACUGACUGGGCGUAAAGCGCACGCAGGCGGCGCUGUGCGUGGGGUGUGAAAGCUCUUGGCUUAACUGAGAGAGGCCAUCCCAUACGGCAGCGCUCGAGCGGUGCAGAGGUCCGCGGAAUUGCCGGUGUAGUGGUGAAAUGCGUAGAGAUCGGCAGGAACACCCAGGGGGAAACCAGCGGACUGGGCAUCGGCUGACGCUCAGGUGCGACAGCGUGGGG